rnacentral:lncRNA from 1 species
UCUGAGGGAAGGUGAGUGUUGCCAGCCUGGUCAUGCCUUAUCCGAAGCGAAGUGAAGACGCUCAGGUGUUUCCCUGUGAGGGUCUGAGGUGAGACUGUUUGGGAUAGAGGAGUAGCGUGGCAGGUGGGUGCUUGCAAGCACAGUGGUUCUUUUGUCCUUUUGUGUUCCCCGGUGGUGUGGAUGAUGGUGGCCGCUCCUUUCAAGCUUGGACCUAAUUUGCAGGUCCAGAGGCAAGUGGAGUGCUGUUUUGAAAGGGUUGAAAUGCAGCGUGCAGUGCGCAGUGCAGGACGUCUCGACCCGAGCUGCCUCUGCAGUGACUCUGGUGGUGUGGAUGAUACUGGCUGCACUGUUGGAGCUUGGACUCGGAGAGGAACACGUGAGCACAAUCGUAUGUUGCAUCAGCAGUAGUCAGCAUUGUGGAGAAGGUGAGCAAUGGGGCUGGCGUGCUAGUGAAUGCUGUUUCUCUGUUUUUGCAGCUGAUGAUGAGCCUUCAAUUGACUAAGAUGACAAACGGUGCCUGUGCAUUUCUUGAGGCGGAGGAACUUCACCAUGCAGCAGC